GGUCGAGAAUAAUUCUCAUCUCCUCCACUCCAGCCUGGGCCUCCCUGCACCAGCCUCAGCCUCCCUGCACCAGCCUUUCUCGGGAGGUCUCUCUGUCCUGCUCCGCACCUCCUCUGCUUCUCUCCUGCCUCUCUGUAUUUCUGCUUUUCACCCUUUCUGUCUCCCGCCCCAGCGACCGAAGCCGAGUUGAGCUAGGGGAGCCCAAGCGGUAUAGAAAGUCAGGUGAAGGCGGAGCCAAGAACGGGAAGAGCCAUCACUAGAGCCCACGGGGCGUUCCGCUUCCUUUGGGAAGUCGCGGACCCGGGCGUUUCCCGGGACGCUGGCUCUGACGCCUGCCAAGGGCAGGACGGGGCGAAGGCCAUUCCGCUGCCCUUCCAGCUUCGGAAUCACCCAAUGCACGGGUUUCAACCUUAGCCAGCAAGAUGCGCCUCUCCGGUUUUCUGAGGCUUUGGAGCCUGCACAGUUGUUCUACAAAAGGCGGUGGCUCCGCCUAGCGUUGGAUGGGCGCGUGCUCUGCAUGGUGAGGCGGGAGCGAGAGUUGAUUGUCUAUCCGUGUGUCGCAGUCGGAUGGUGUGCUUGCUUCCAAGUUUGGAGGCCAUUUCCUCCCUGCUUCCCUCAGAUGAAGAAGAGUUCCAUACAAAAGACCUACUCCCCUGAGAAGCAGUGAAGUGCUCCUGGGGCCCACCAAGGCCACACAAAUCAAGGAGUGGGUGACCUCACCCAGGCUUCAGCUCAGAGCUGAUUUUGAGAUCACCUUUGCAAAACGACAUCGUGCUGGGAGAUGUCAUCAGGACAAGGCCAUAGAUGUGGCUGUCAAAGGAGAGAGAAGAUGGUGCAAGCCUUAAUGGAAAGAAAUUCAGAAUUACAGGCCCUGCACCAAUAUUUAGGAGGGAGAGACUCCCUGAUGUCUCAAGUACCCAUCUCUAACCAGCAAGCUGAAGUUAUCUCCAUUGGCCCCCCUCUUGGAGAACAGACUGAUCAAUUUUUUAGGGUUCAAUGCAGAUACCUUCCAGAGAUGAUAGCACUUCAUUGACUGCCAAAGAGGAUGUCAGCAUACCCAGAUCCACAUUAGGAGACUUGGACACAGUUGCAGGGCUGGAAAAAGAACUGAGUAAUGCCAAAGAGGAACUUGAACUCAUGACUAACAAAGAAAGAGAAAGUCAGAUGAAACUUUCUGCUCUAUAGUCCACGAUGGCUGUGCAGGAAGAAGAGCCGCAGGUGCAGGCUGCUGAUAUGGGAAGAAGAUCUCAUAAAGGUCUUUCAAAACUUUUUAAAGACCACUGGAAAUGUUCACAGCUCAGAAUACAUGUAGGGCCUCUUCAGACAAUAUUUGCACACAUAGAAUCCCUUGGCCAGUGAUUAUCCAUAUCACACCUGAAAGUAUAGGCAGAAUAUUUCAAGAACAUUUGUUCCUGUGCUCCUCUGCUGAAUAAUCCUUUUAUUACUAUUUUCACAUCCACACUUAUUUUUUGACUUCUGGGACCUGCAAAUGCAACUGGUUGAUCCUGAAGACAUACCAGCUAUGGAAUGCCUGACCCAGGAAGUCUUACUUCUUAGGGAAAAAGUUGCUUCAGUAGAAUCCCAGGGUCAAGAAAUUUCAGGAAACCGAAGACAACAGUUGCUGCUGAUGCUAGAAGGACUGGUGGGUGAACGGAGUCAGAUCAAUGAGGCCUAACAAGCAGACAGACAGCUCUAUAGCAGUCUGGUGAAGUUCCAUGCCCAUCCAGAGAGGUGUCUACGGAGAAAUAGACAAGAGAUGCACGACAGAUACAUGUGUCAGUCUGGUCUCUGCAGUCAUAUUUGUAAUAAUACACAUUGAAGUAAUUUCAUGGCCAUCGGUUAGAGAAUGUUUGAAGAAUGAUCCAUUCAUAUCAAGAAGGAUGUUUCAAAGAUCAAAGCCUGAUGGAAAUGCUGGAGGCCAUGACGCUGAUAGGAGCUCAUGCAUGUCGACCAAUUACUAUGUGACAGGCAUUGGCUCCAUGCUUUUCCUGCACUGCUCAUUUAAACACUGGACAACCUAAGUGUUCUGAUUUAGCCCUUUGGACUAAAUUUCUAGCAAAAUGGAGGCACAGAAAAUUAAUGUGUUUAACUUCAAACCCCGGUAGAUUAGGUUUUUCAUUCAGAGCCUGUGGCUUCACCAUAGUUGUGAUUCAGGUUCUGUCGUUCUCCACCUUAGGAAUUUCCAGUAUUCCAAAUAUGAGAAGCUGAGAAAACAAACAAACAAACAAACUCAAAACCCUAAAAACCAGGAUAAGUAAGGGUAGACGUUUGUUGGGUGUGGAUUAAAAAUGGACUUUUUUUGCCCCAAGCAACAAAGAGGCACCUUGGAAAAUAGACAAGAGACGAGAAGAAGAGAAGCUUUAAGAGAUAUUUGGCCCAAGGUAGAGACUCUUCAGAUGGAAGGUCACGUCAGCUAGAAACAUUAAUAUGACUGGAUGGGCUCAAACCACUGACUUUUCAGUCAACAUCUGACAGCACUAACCUAGUGUUCCAGAGACACUGUUUGUUAAACAGUGAAAGCUAUUGCUCAAUUGUGUCAUCCAUAAUUGUCAAAUAUUGCCAUUUAGUAGCACAAGGAAGUAUUCUCUGUUGCCAAGCUAGAGUACCCAUAACUCUUCUGUUUUGUUGAACAUUCUUCCCCACCACAAACCCUCUUUAGAAGACUGGGGGCUCCUAAAAUAUUGAGGCCGAAAGUCCUGUCCUUGUGCAUGUUUGGGCAUUGACCCAGGGCCAAGUCAGUGGGAGACUCCUCCACGCCUACGCCAAGUCCCCAGGUGACAACUGCAGUCUCUGGAUCUGAGGUCAUCCACUUUCCCAUUCCUAGCUCACCUCACCCAUCGUGAAGCCUGGUUAGUAUUGCCAGAGACCCGAGUGGGCAGGUGCCUGCACCGAAGACAGAACCUGCCAUGUGCUCACGUGGCUGAUCCCUCCAUCCUUCUAGACAAAGGCUUCAUGAGCUAGGGAACUUGGGUUUGCUCACAAGGCAGCCCCUCACCUAGUAGGCAUUAGUUCAUUAUGUAUAUGUAUAUGUAUAUGUAUAUGUAUAUGUAUAUGUAUAUGUAUAUGUAUAUGUAGUCCUCAGGUUGUAUUCCUUAAAUGUAUAUAAUAUAUGUAAUUCCUUAAAUAUAUAAUUUUAAUACAAAAUUUUAAAAAGAUUCUUUUAAUAAACACAAUAACAUCAAGAAAUAUAAACUACAUAGAAAAGAUGUGAAAGCCAGCCAGGCUUGGCUUCAAAGGCCAGCACUUUGGAAGGCUGUGGCAGGAGAGUCACUUGAGCUCAGAAGCUUGAAACUAGCCUAGGCAACAUAGUGAGAUGUCAUCUCUACUGAAAAUCAGAAAAAUUAUCCGGGUGUGGUGGUGUGAGCCUGUAGUCCCAGGUACUCAGUGGAUGAGGCCCUAGGAUGUCAUAGUCCUGAGAAUUCCAUGCUGCAGUGAGCUGUGAUAGUGCCACUGUACUCCAGCCUGGGUGAAAGAGUGAGAUCGUGUCUAGAAACAAAGGAAGAAAAAAAAGAUGUGAAAGCCUAUAUAUGGAAGACUACCAAGUGUUGCUGAGAGCAGUUAAAGACCUUUGGAAUAGAGAAUGUUCCUUCUUGCAUUUCAAGAUUGCUUUUGUUUUGGGGGGACACUUGCUAUUUUUUAGGAAUGUGAAGUCCUUCUUAGGCAUUCCUGUAAUAAAGGCCACUUUUU